GACAUUAGACGAAUCAUCUGGAAAGAUGAAUCAAAGAAGGUAAUAAUCCUGUAGUCGAAAAUGUUGUCUCUCUUGAGUGGAUCCUGAGUACGACGGAGCACGUGAAAUUCCGUCGGAAUCUGGGAGGACCAUCUCCUAAGGCUAAAUACUCUCUAGUGACCGAUAGUGAACCAGUACCGUGAGGGAAAGGUGAAAAGCACCCCGGAAGGGGAGUGAAAUAGAACCUGAAACCGUGUGCUUACAAGUAGUCAGAGCCCGUUAAUGGGUGAUGGCGUGCCUUUUGUAGAAUGAACCGGCGAGUUACGAUUUGAUGCAAGGUUAAGCAGUAAAUGUGGAGCCGUAGCGAAAGCGAGUCUGAAUAGGGCGUUUAGUAUUUGGUCGUAGACCCGAAACCAGGUGAUCUACCCUUGGUCAGGUUGAAGUUCAGGUAACACUGAAUGGAGGACCGAACCGACUUACGUUGAAAAGUGAGCGGAUGAACUGAGGGUAGCGGAGAAAUUCCAAUCGAACCUGGAGAUAGCUGGUUCUCUCCGAAAUAGCUUUAGGGCUAGCCUCAAGUGAUGAUUAUUGGAGGUAGAGCACUGUUUGGACGAGGGGCCCCUCUCGGGUUACCGAAUUCAGACAAACUCCGAAUGCCAAUUAAUUUAACUUGGGAGUCAGAACAUGGGUGAUAAGGUCCGUGUUCGAAAGGGAAACAGCCCAGACCACCAGCUAAGGUCCCAAAAUAUAUGUUAAGUGGAAAAGGAUGUGGCGUUGCCCAGACAACUAGGAUGUUGGCUUAGAAGCAGCCAUCAUUUAAAGAGUGCGUAAUAGCUCACUAGUCGAGUGACACUGCGCCGAAAAUGUACCGGGGCUAAACAUAUUACCGAAGCUGUGGAUUGUCCUUUGGACAAUGGUAGGAGAGCGUUCUAAGGGCGUUGAAGCAUGAUCGUAAGGACAUGUGGAGCGCUUAGAAG
rnacentral:rRNA from 1 species